AAGACUAUACUUUCAGGAAUCAUUUCUGUAGUUUUUGAUUUGGAAAGCUUUUCUGAAAGUGUCACGUCUCUCUACCCACAAUGAUGAGUUGUGAUAUUUUUUUCUUAGCGUGAAUCUGGGGGAGAAUAACGAUUACCGUUGUUCUCUCUUAUUGAUGAACGUUCCUGCUGUGUUUCACAGUUGGGAAGAAAAAGGAGCGCUCAGAGUGGU
ensembl:snoRNA U3 Small nucleolar RNA U3